UACGGAGGGUGCAAGCGUUAUCCGGAUUCACUGGGUUUAAAGGGUGCGUAGGUGGCUUUGUAAGUCAGUGGUGAAAGCCCGGAGCUCAACUCCGGAACUGCCAUUGAUACUGCUUAGCUUGAAUCACGUCGAGGUGGAUGGAAUAAUACAUGUAGCGGUGAAAUGCUUAGAUAUGUAUUAGAACACCGAUUGCGAAGGCAGUUCACUAGGCGUGUAUUGACACUGAGGCACGAAAAGCGUGGGGAUCGAAACAAGG
rnacentral:rRNA from 1 species